CUUCCAAAUCUUUGGUUGCUAAGAGGUCGUCAUGUUCCUAGUCUAGUGAUCAUCUCUACAUGGAGCAGCAAGUUACUAUUCAGUUAUUAGUACUCAAACCACUGUCCGCUAGCCUGGAUGGCAAUUGGUGACUUUAAUUCUGUGUUGGGAGCUCAUGAGAAGUCAGGGGGUCCUCCUCCAUCCCGUAUAUCUUGCUUGGAGUUCCAAAAUAUGUCAGAUGCUUGUGAUUUUGUCCAUUUGGACACUGUAGUGCCCAUUUUACUUGGACAAAUGGUUGUGGAACUAGGGCGCAUGUUGAGCUUCGAUUAUACAGAUCCCUUUGCAAUACUAGUUGGUUUGAAUCAUGGCCGUAUUCUAGCUGUAUUGCCCUGCCUCGGGUAGUCUCUGAUCACACUCCUAUAAUUUUCUCUGCUUCAAAGCUCUCCCCAAGUGAUCCAAAGCCUUUUCAGUUCCAGUCCAUGUCACUAUGCCAAAAUAUUCAUCAGACGACAGUCCAGGUCUGUCGUCUGACAGUUUUUUUUAUGUCGUCUGAGGCUGUGUCGUGUGAUUGACCUCAGACGACAAUUUUCCACCGUCGUCUGAUAUCUGUUCAGACGACAUAUCUUAUGUCGUCUGGAAGAAGCUGAAUCUGGAAGGUUUCAGAAAAAUAUGUCGUGUUAAUAGAUUACAUACAACAUAUAAAUGUCGACUGAAGCCAGAAUAAGGAAGAAAUUAAUGAUGUCUCAAUAGAAAACCAACAACAUAUAUAUGUCGUCUGAUAAAGCAAUUAUGUCGUCUGAUAGUCUAUUAGACUUUAUAUUUUUGUUGCUUGUUAUAAAGACUUAUGUUGUCCAAUUGUCUGUUGGAAUUCACAUUCUUGUUGCUUUUUAUAAGCACUUAUGUUGUUUGACUAUGAAUUGAACUUCAUAUGUAACAAAAUUAAGAAUCAAAGAAAGUAAAACUUCAUUGAUGUUGAUA